rnacentral:lncRNA from 10 species
UAGGAUUAGGGAGGGUCAGCGGCUUUGUUUUUAUUCAGUCAACAACUAUGCAUUGGACACAGCUGUCUGCCAGGCCCUUUGCUGAGCUUUUCCAUACAAGAGUGGACAGAGUUGGCAUCGUCACUGUCCCCAGGUACAGGAGUAACGCUGGGGCCGUGAGGGAGUCUGACCGUCAGUCCUGAUUCUGGGCCCGUGACAGGAAGCGCCACGGGUCUGGGUUCCUGCCAUCCAUCGCUGGCCAUGCACCCUGCACCCACCACACGGGAAGAACCACAGGUAGAGUCAUUGAAUAACUGAAUAUUCAACGCACAAGGAGAUGUGUGUUGAAGAACCAAGAGGGAGCUGGCCACAAAGACAGGGCAAAAUUUUUGACAGUGUUGAAAUGUUUUUUUUCCUCUUGAUUCUGGACAUCCUGAAGUCACAAUAUCCAAUGCUCUUUCAGCAUUUUUAUGAUAAAAAGCAAUCACCUUAUUAGUGGCUGUGUUUAAAGCUAGCCAGACUGAGGCGGUAAACAGCACUGCAUUUAUUCGUGUAGGCGCUACGAACCUGAGCACCAACUGGGACCUCCAUGCGUGGACUGGGCCAUAGUGAGAGAGAGGCAUGGGGCAUAGUGCAUGGGAGAGGUGUCCUUGGUCCAAGGAUGAGUGAGAUGGUAUUAGAACCUCCCAUUCCUGCUGCAUCAAGACAUCAAAAAAAGAAGAAAAAU